GAUGAACGCUGGCGGCGUGCCUAAUACAUGCAAGUCGAGCGAAUGGAUUAAGAGCUUGCUCUUAUGAAGUUAGCGGCGGACGGGUGAGUAACACGUGGGUAACCUGCCCAUAAGACUGGGAUAACUCCGGGAAACCGGGGCUAAUACCGGAUAACAUUUUGAACCGCAUGGUUCGAAAUUGAAAGGCGGCUUCGGCUGUCACUUAUGGAGGGACCCGCGUCGCAUUAGCUAGUUGGUGAGGUAACGGCUCAACAAGGCAACGAUGCGUAGCCGACCAGAGAGGGUGAUCGGCCACACUGGGACUGGGACACGGCCCAGACUCCUACGGGAGGCAGCAGUAGGGAAUCUUCCGCAAUGGACGAAAGUCUGACGGAGCAACGCCGCGUGAGUGAUGAAGGCUUUCGGGUCGUAAAACUCUGUUGUUAGGGAAGAACAAGUGCUAGUUGAAUAAGCUGGCACCUUGACGGUACCUAACCAGAAAGCCACGGCUAACUACGUGCCAGCAGCCGCCGUAA
rnacentral:rRNA from 1 species